CACUCACAUAUAUACCUAUAUACAUACCCACUAACACAUAAAUAAAUAUACAAUACAUAUAUACAUUUAUACCCACACAUUCCCAUUUACAGUUUGAGAAUCUGUGUGAAAUUCUGAUGCUGUUUUAGGCAAAAUUGAAAAAAGACCGGAUCGUGAAGGGUUAAUGAAGUUUUAAGAUUGACUUUUCAGUCAAAGCAGCUCCUGCGCGCUCCCCCCUCCCCCCCCUCGCUUGUUAACUGAUUAUCCAAUCAGAAGCGAGAGAGUGAGGUGAAGAGUUCACCUGCUCCCGCACCUGCAGCAUCAUACUGUCUCCUCCGAGUGCAACGGCCUGUUUUUCACCAUGGACCGGUUAAAAAAAAAAAAAAAAAAAAAAAAAAAAGACUUACGGUUUUAUGGAAUCACCAUCAAAAGAGUGAAAAGAGAGAUGAAAACGCUCAGGUAAGUAUUUCUUUGCUUUACAUAUGAAUUGUUUUGUGUGAUUUGUCCGUGGGAGGACAGCAGACUGAUUUCACUUUUGACCAAGCUGUCCGCGUAUGCUAAUGUUAGCGAAACAGUGGUAACCAGACGUAUCCUUAAUUUACACAUUGUUUAGACAGAUAAUUACCACAGAAAAUUUAAAUCAGAUGUAAGUAGUCUACUCUGGCAGUUUUAAUAUAAAAGCUUAAAGUUCUACUCCUAUUUCUGCUCACAGUGGUUUUAGCUUUUACCCCUUUACAUCCGCCUCUUUUUUGGAACAUACCAAAUGUCCAUUGCUCAUUAAAACAUCGUAAAUCCCAGACUUCUAUUAUACAUCAUUUGAAAGUUCUGGUCUUGUAGUUUCUGGGAAUAUGUAUAUAAAUUCUGUGAGUGCUACAUUAUUUGCACACGAUCGUUUUAAACAUUUUUAAAUGUAUAUUUUUUUUCUCAGAAAAAGAAAUGCAUUUUUAAAAGCCUUUAUCUUGGCCAUACUUCGUCAGAGGCUGUUGCUACUCACAUACACUUGUAAUGCAUGUUGUGGACAACAACUGUGUGUAAUUUCAGACUCUGCUCAUCAGCAUUUUGAUACUGUAUUAUUUUUGUAAAAAGAAGUCGUUUGCCUAAAAUUGUGCCAAAUAUAUAAACUCUAUUAUUCAUUUUAUGCUUACUUUAACCACAAAAAUACAUUUUCCUAUUUAGAUAGAUAUUCUAGCACUCAUUUACUUUUAAAAUUUUAAAUUAUUUAUUUGUUAGAAUUGUAUUUAUGGUGUGUGUUGAUCUCCAGCUCUGCUCCAUGUGAGAUCAGCAUGAGCUGAUCAUGCUGAUAGAUGUUGUAUUGAGGGCCAUUAAACAUCACUGGGUUUAAUCUUGUUUUUAUAUGAAAGUGAUCUCUCAUAAUAAAAAAAGAGUUUGGAGACAUGCAGGUAAAAGUAAGCCAACAAUAAUAAUAAAAACUAUUCAGUCAUUUGGCACUGCAAGAUGUUGCAUGAAUUCUUGUAUGAUGUAUACAAGAAAUGUCUCAAAUGUUGAAUGUGUAAUUUUUUGAUUUGUACCUGUGUAUUGGUAAUGUAGUAGGUCAGCACAUACAACUUAAAACAGUAGGGCAUGUUCUUUAAAAAAAUGUAUGCACACAAAUUUAUUUCUACAGAGCAUUAAAAGCCUAAAUGAAAAAGAUAAAGCAAGAUAAAAUGUAUUAAUUGGACUAAAAUCAAAUUAAUGUGUUGGAGUUUUGCGAGAAGAAAGAUGCAUCAUGUUGUUUAGACAGUGGUAAAGAGAUGUAGAGAUGUAGGCUUUUCUUCAGCAACGUAAAGGUUUCACUCUGAAUCAUGCACUAAUAUAUGCACAUGCACUGUAUUUGCAUCACUUACAUUUCCCUCUUGUGCCCUGCUCUGAAGGCUGAAAAGGAGCACUGCCCCAAAACAGCGGAACAUGCGCCUCUCAAAGACAAUUAUACUGAGGAACCUGAUGAAGCCUGCUACUCCCCAACGCCAUCGCAAUCCAGUGAGGAGCCUCGGACAUCAGAUCCACUGGAUGAAGAUUACACACCGUCGCCAUCAUCCAAUGACGAUGAGCCCCUUAUACAGGAGUCCCAGUCAUCCUGCCACAGUACACCAGUGAAGCACCACAGUCAUCCAUCAUCCAUUGAGACCGACAUGGGGGAGGCUCAGGACCAGAAGGAAAAAGUUGAAUCAGUUGAAAUGGACAAGCAAUUAAAAGGAAAAGGGAAGUUUAAAGGUGGUAAACAAAAAAUUACUGUUAAAAGAAGCAAAAACAAGGAUGGUAUCAGAGUUUGGGACAAAGUCCAUUACUGCGUAUACUGUGAAAAGGCUCAACUUAGUUUACAGGUUGGGUCCAAACAAAGGAAGAUACAAUUAGAAGGCCUUCGAAAUAAGGGUGACUGGCUGCACAAUCGCAAAGUCUUAGAAGAAGGAAAUGGUAAGAUUGUAACAUGGAGGCAGCCCCCUGAGAAGGUGGACGUAAAGAGCUACAUCCCAUGUCAAUACUGCUACGCAAUGUUCAUGAGGACUGAACUGUGGAGACAUGAGAAAUCAUGUAGAGAACGGAAAGACGCAAAGGCAAAAGCGUACAACAAUCUUCCUCCUAUCUACUUCCAGUCAAAUCAUCAUGCAACAAUGUAGAAAAGAUCAUUCACUCUAUGCUCCAGGAUCAUGUGACCUCUCAGAUCAGGACUGAUGAGAUGAUCUGUGCAUGGAGAUGCUUUAUUUGCGAAAAAGGGCCGUGAAAAGUCUCAGCACAGAUACAUUGCGCAAAAGCUAAGAGAACUAGGAAGGUUUAUGUUGGCUGCUAAAGAAAUUGAUAAGCGUGUCAAAAGUCUUAAAGACAUUUGUGAUCCAUCAAAAUUUGAACUAGCAAUUAAAGCAGCCAGGCAUGUGUCAAACUACGAUGAAAACAAGAAUGAAUAUGGAAAGCCAUCUACAGCAGUUAAAAUUGGAUUUUCACUGAAAGGGGCCACUGAGGCGUGGAUCGGCCACUGCUUGAUGAAGUGUGAUGUCUCAACUGAGAAGAAGGCAAAAAAGUUCAAGCAGUUGCUGGAGCACUCAUGGUCCACUUAUGUUUCGACCAAAGCUCAAGGCACAAUGGAGCAACGGAGGUGGGGGAAAGAAGACAACAUACCUCUAACUGAGGAUGUACUCAUUCUUCAGAACUACCUGAGGAAAGUUGAGGAUGAGUCAAAGGCAAAGUUAAGAGAGCAUGUGACUCCUACAGAAUACAGACUGUUAAGUGAGAGCCUUCUUGCACAAAUAAUUGUGUUCAAUAAGAAACGAGAAGGAGAGGCAUCAUGUUUAACCCUUGAGACAUAUCUCAAAGCAGACAAAGGCCCUUUAAAUAAGGACAUUUAUGAGACUCUAUCAACUGUGGAGAAACAAAUGAGCAAAAGACUCACACGUUUGGUGACACGUGGAAAGAGAGGGAGAAAAGUACCCGUCCUAGUUCUUGAGCGCAUAAGAGUCGCUUGACUUCCUGGUUGAAAAAAGGAGCGAAGUUGGCAUUCUUGAGGAGAACCCAUUUCUGUUUGCAAGGUAUGGCACAACAACUAAUCUUUGUGGGUGCGACUGCCUAAGAAAAUUUGCAGAAGAGAGCAAGGCCAACAACCCAGAACUGCUGAGGUCAACAAAGUUGAGGAAGCAUGUUGCUACCUUAUGCCAGCUGCUCGACCUCAGCAACCAGGAACUUGAGCAAGUUGCUCGUUUUAUGGGGCAUGACAUCAGAGUCCACUACGAGUAUUAUCGGCAGACGGAUAAAACAUUUCAAGUGGCCAAGAUUGGCAAACUUCUGUUUGCCAUGGAACACGGAGCAAAUUCACUGAAAGAUAAAAGCCUGCAAACACUGGACUCUGUUAUCAGCGGCAAAAGACCUGCAGCCACCUCAACCAAACGUUCGCAAGCUGUCAAAAAGAGAAGGAUCUCAGAUGCACGUGGUCAACUGGAAGCGCAUGAUGAUGGAGAACAGCUGUCCUCCACAAGCUCAUCAGCUCAGGGGAAAAAGAUGACUGUCCCAACACCAAGAGAUGAUUCUGAUGAGGCCUCUGCAGCGAUGUCUUCUGUAGAGAGUCAGUGGGUGACUGCAACAAGAUGUGAAGAUUAUGGUGGUUCUGAGGAGGAGGAUUGAAGCAAUGACAUCAGUCAAGGCACUGAAGACACAGAUGAAGAGAACAGACUGACUGCUGGCCCAAAAUUCCGUCCAAAGGGCCGUAAGAAGACUGCAGGCAAUGAUGAUGAAAUGGUGGUCAAGAAGCAAGUUAAGAGACCCUGGAAUGACCAGGAGAGAAGUGCAGUUGGACGACGCCUUGCCAGGUUUAUCACGCUGAAGAAGGUUCCAGGAAAGCAGGACUGUCUGAUGUGCAUUGCCAAAGAGUCUCCAGUCCUAAGAGCGCGGACGUGGAAAGACGUGAAAUAUUUAGUAUACAAUGAAAUUGUUAAAGCUAAAAGAAAGCUUGCAUUCUGAAUUAAUGAACUGCAUUAGAUGUGGUUUUAGUUCUACAACCAGUUAUGUAUUACUAGUUUAAGAAUCUCUUAAACUCAUGUUACAUGUUCUAUUAUAGAACAUUGACAGCCACUUUUUUUCCUGUUUGUGGCUGAUGUUGAAUAUUUGAGCCAUGCAUUGGUUUGCAUGAGCUCCAUUGUGGUUCCAUUGAGCAGGCUGAGCUUUGUGGUGUUCACAAGUGCCUGUGCAUUUUCAGUUUUAAAAAUCACACUUUUUUUUUUUUGGAUUAAUAAAAUGUGAGGAAAAACUGCA